rnacentral:tRNA from 1 species
UACUAAUGAGCUGUGUAGCGUUAGCCUCUUAAGCUAUUUUAAAUUAACUAUGUUAAUAUUAGUUU